GACCUAAUAGCGAAGUUGGUAUCGCAUCCUGCCGUUGAAAAAUAAUCCAACGGUUUCUGUGGAAGCCCUUCGUUCGAAUCUAGGUGAGGUCA